UUAGUUUAAAAUUAUAGAAAAUAAAUAAUCAUAAAAACUAUACAUUUAUAAUUAAAAUUUAAUAUAUUUUAUUAAUAUGUAUCAAAAUCAUAAAACAUGUAUUAUUUUAAAACAAAUGGAGUAUUAUUUUAUGAAAUUGUAAGUAUUAAAUAAUGGCAUGAAAAUCAAGAAAGAAGUCAAGUUCAUUGGUUAAAUUAAGAGGAAAGAUAAACUUGGACCCAUGAUUUUGAUUCAUUUAAAAAUUAAGAGGAAAGACAAACUUGGACCCAUGAUUUUGAAUCAUCACAGUUACAUAGUGAGAAGAUGAUAAGAACAAAAUUUAUUAUGCAUUAUUUAUCCGGAAAAUGGCAUUCACAUUAUAGACAUUAGUCACAUCGUUGUAGAAGUUGGGCCGAGAUAAACCAUAUAAUAUAUAUCAUGUUACCAUGAUUAGAGAAUGACAUUUCCAAAGAGUACUCUAAAGAACUUUAGAAGGUUUCGCAAAUACUUUCAGAAACAGUCAAUUCCUCAAUUUAAUUUGUAACAAAGUUUUCCAAAAAGAUAAUACUAUUAAGAGGUUGGUCAUUUUUGUAAAUAGGAGUCAUACAUUCAUAAUUUUUCUGCCAAUGUCAUUGUAAUUUAACAAUAUUAACUAGAUUUUGAUCCGCGCUUUCAAAGCGCGGGAUUAUCUUAUUUUGAAAUAUAUUUUAUUUAUAACAUGUAUAACAUGUAUAUUUUUUAAUCAGUGUUUUUAUGUUAUAUUUUUAGUAGUGGUUUUAUAUAAUUAGGAUGAUAAGUAACUAUAUAUAAAUAUAAAAAUAUAUAAUCUUGAUGCUAAUAUAAUAGUAUAGAUGUAUACAUAUAUAUAUAUAUAUAUAUAUAUAUAUAUAUAUAUAUAUAUAUAUAUAUAUAUAUAUAUAUAUAUAUAUAUAUAUAUAUAUAUUUAUAGUUGAGAGGUUUUGAAAGAGUUCAAAUAUUAAGUGGGUUUUUUUAAUAUUAUCAGACAUAUUUUACUAUCAAAACUAAAAACUAAUUUGGUAUCUAUAAUUUUCCAAAUUUGUCAUAAGUAAAAACUAUAAAUGUAAUUUUUAAAAUUAAAAAAAUAUAACUUGUUUUGUAUAGUUUUGUAGUUUUUUUUCUUUGUUUUGGGUAAUAAUUAUGUAUAUGAAAGGGUAGCAGUAGAUGAUUUGUGUUAAUUAUGUAAAGUUUUUUUAAAGUGUAAUUAAUAUCCUUUUGUCAGAUUUGUUUAGUGGGAUGUUGAAAUUAUUUUACAAUCUUAUUAGUCCACAUUGGAAAUUAACGCUAAAUCUUUUUUGCAUAUAUAAGUCGUCUUAAGACACUAUAAGAUAGUCAAAAAAUAUAUUAAAUAUUUUCUUUAUGUUGAAAUUAAAAAGACAAAAAAAUCUGAUUCUUUAGUAUUAUUAAAAAAUCAGAUAGUGAAAGUAAAAAGACAAUAACUCUGCCGACAUCUUCAUUUUCUCCGUAACUUCUCUCAAAUUAGAAAAGCAAUCGCUCUCCUCAUUGUUUCCGAUUCGAAGAUCUCCCAAAAAAAACAGAAGGAGUAAUCUCAUGUCUUGUUCAUCUCUGUGUGUUAUAAAAGGUAAUUAUUACAAUACAUUCUUCGAUGAUUAAAUCUUUGUUAUAUUUUGUUCUUUGUUUUUAACAAUUGAAACCACAUGCAAUUGACAGAGUAAAAGCUCACAGAGUAAAAGAGAGUUUCGAAAACUUAUAGCUUUGGAUGAUAAGCACUGAGAUCUCAGAUCUGUUCAGAUCUUGUUAAGAACUUGGAUCGAAGAGGAAGUGAAAGAUCUUAAAAGCAUGUAAGUUUUGAAAGCCCGAUUCAACUAAUCUGUUUUAGUUUAAUCUGUUGCUUACUGUUUUUUUUUUAAGGAAACAAAGUGAAACAGAAGCUUUAAAAGUCGGUAGAUUCACAGAGGAUUUGACCAUACCCAAUAUCUAGGUCAGAUUUUUCUUUUAUAUUUGGCCCAUCUCUAAUAUCAUUGAUGAUCUUAAAAAACAUGUUAUUGUUUUGUUUUUCAGAGCUGAAGGCAAAAUCUUGUGAACAAAUAUGAGUCUGGGAUGGUUGUCGAUUGUAUCAUAAGAAGAGUUGGAAGACAACCAAAUGGUAAAUAUAAUAUCAUCUGUUCUUGAGAUUUUUAAAUAACAGAUAUAAAACUGUAACGUUUUGUUUGAUUUCAGAUUUCUUAUCAAUGUGAGAUUGGAAUGAUUUCGAAGAGUGUGAAGACGAUGUGAAUCAAUCAAAGACUACAGACUUCAUUCUCCUAUGAAGGAAAACAUGACUUCAAUAUAAAAGAUACGUUAUUUUCAGAAAGUUUGUCUUUUUUACAUUAACUAUAAUAUAUAUGCCGAUAUUCCCUAUAAGUUUUUCUUUCAUCUAUUCAUCCACGAAAGUCAUAUUCAAUAUUCGGAAAAUAUCGACUUUAGACUUAAUGUUGUUUCCUAAUUGAACAGCACAAAGCUGACAGUUGAAUAAUGAUGAAGGCCAUGAGGCAAAGUCUAUAAAAACCUUGCAGUACACAGAUAAGUCUCGGACUAUAGGUUUAUUUGGUUGAUUUAGAAAUGAGAAACGGUAUAUGUUUUACCGUUUAGUGAGUUGACUUAAUUAAAUAUACAAUUGAUGUACAGGUGGUGCAGUCUGUUGUACACAACAUGAGAUUUACACAGUAGGUCGAGCAGUCAAAGGUUUAGAGACAGAAAUAUCCCUUACAAAAAUAUACUCUCAAAGGUUGAUGAUCAUUUGAGAAGCAUCAAAGGAGUUAGAGAUUUGCAGAAUGGAGAGUGUCGGUUAACUUGCCCCAAAUACAGCAUGGUAUUCUUGAAUCACUAUCUCACAAGUAAAAAAAGCGAGAUAUGGUUUGUUGUGCGAUAUGCUCCUCCAGCAGGCCUGACUUGGAAGUUUCUGAUGUUGCGCCAUACUCCAACCAGAAGAAGUCUUCCUUUACUCUCAAAGAAUGUAGAACCUUGACAUGAACCAUCUUAGUAGUGUGCUUUGGCUUCAAGUCGCUGAGGGCGGUGAUUUGUUCAGUAGAAUCAUUUGCUGUGUUGUUGAGCGCUUUAGAAGCCAUUCUUUUGGUUUUGCGGUAUGAGUGUUUUAGCAAGAGGCGUGGGUAUUUAUAAUAGGAAGAAGUUAUAGGAAGAGUAGAUUAGGUUAUUUGAAAACUUGUAGGCUACUCUAAAUAUUUUCGAGAUCUUUAUCGUUAAUAAGUACUAAAUGCAGUUACCAGAAAUGUUUAAAAAUAUAUUCUGUGAGUAAGUUACACGCAAUCUAGAUUAUAGGAAGAUAUUUCCGAACUUUGAAUGUAGCCUCUGUGUAUCUUCAUUUUCUAAAUUUGGUUAUACAUUUAUUUGCACCAUGAUUGUAGGCGCUACAUACCUUCCACCUUUUUAAUCGGAAAAUCUUAUAGGGAAUAUUAUGUUGUUAAAAUUAUAGUUAUAAUAGAUAUGGUAUCGAAACUUUAGGAAAAAACAAUCAGUUAUUUUAAAAUAAACCGUAUCUAUUAGAUAUGGGAUUGGUUAAUUUUUAAAAUAAUUGAAUAAACUAACCAUUAGGUUAUGUUUUAAAAAUAAUUAUCUGUAAAAAACAUGAGAAUGCGUAUGAAUACGUAAGGGUAUAAGGUUUGAAAAAUAUUAUUAGUAUAAAUAAGUCAUAUUUUUAUUUUUAUUUGCACACGUGCGUUUGUUGGAAGUUUUUUUUCCUCUUUUAAGCCUUUUCAUUUUAGGGUAUAGGGUUUGAUUUACAUUGUUGUUUACCUAUAUGUUAUAUUCAUCUUGGUUAGUGUUUUUAUUUUAGGGUAUAGGGUUUGACCAAAAAAAAGUUGAUUGUAUAUGGCGUUUUCAUAGUAUAGGCCAUAGGGCUUGAUUAUGAAUAUGAAUUUGAUGGGCUGAACAAUAAUUUCUGUUUAGAUUUAAAAAUUCACCAACUUACUCGGUAGUGGACUUAAAUAGGUGUGAUGGGCUAAAAAAACAAAGCAUUCCGAUUGGUCAAAUAUUUUUUUAAAAAGAAAAAAGCAGUGGCAGUUGGUUGUAAAUAUAUUGAAAAGGCAGGGACAGAAUCCUAGGAGGGAUUCUGCUUUAAUAGUAUAGAUAUCAUGAUCUUUCCAAACAGUUUUGCUAGUUUAUUUUAGGUUUAAAACUUUAAAUCCUCCAUUUUGACCAAAACAAAAUUUGACAAAAAAAAAAACUUUAAAUCCUCCAUAAUACUAUAAUUCAAGGUUCGAUAAACUAUUUU